CAGUUCCUGGGAAAAACUGCAAGGCCACAGUUGAGACAGAUAACCGGGAAAAACUAAGACGUCCUCCCCAAGGCCUUAACUGUUGAAACAAACAAGGUCACAAGAACAAGGCCUGUUCUUUUCAGCUGCUCUAUAUAUGUGCACUCCCAAUCCUACCGGGGAUGGUUCUUUUGGGGAACCGUCCUAGGGCUAGUAAAUAGACCUCUCCCUGUUGUUUUUUGCAUUGUCUUUGAGUGUUCCUUUGCGGGUUACUUCCACUCGGAACCUAACAUAGGGGGGCUCACUGGGAUGGUAGUAGGACCCCUCUAGGAAACACCAGGACAAAGGGAAGGCUCUUCCAGCUCUUGUGCUGAAACCCUGAAGGAAGUCAGCGAAUUCCAGAGGCUGUUCCCUACCUCACUUCCUGUGUCUCACAAAUCCAAUGGUUGGCUCUAGCUUGGCUUAGGACAGCCCAGUGUUUGCCUCAGUCCUGGUUUCUACACUUCUAUCUUAGGGGCUGACUCUCCCCCUUGUGACCUGUCUACCAAUCGGGGGAAGCAGUGGCUGGACACCCUUCAGAUCUCCAAGCAGGUCUCCACUGACCUGGGACCCUGGCAUUCACUGAGGACAUGCCCCUAAAUACCCUGUGUCUUCAGCCUUUCCCUCCCUGUUCAAGUUUUGGAUAAUCCCCUGUGGGAUAGGACCCUGAGCUUUGUAUCCUAGUCACCAUUCUGCCCCAAGUACUAUACCAUCCGGGAUGGAGCUGCUGGACUACUGGGAACAUCAAAGAAUCAGCCACCAGUAACAAGAACCUUUCCGUGCACUGACCUGAGCCACACUCUUUGGCUUGGCAGGGAUUGGCACAGGCUUUGUAUUGUCCACCAACUGGUCUACUUUGUGAAGGACCAGGUCCACACAGUCCAGCUCAUGGUCCUCAGGCAGCAGUAUCAGGCCCUGCCAGACCCCACCCCCUUCCCCGCCCAUGGCUAUGCUAAUGCCCUGCCCCUGGAGGUCUCCGCUCGCCCCUGAAUGAACAUCAUAAAAUAAAAAGAACUGGGGAAUGGAGUGAAGGUUGCACUGUAUCCAAAUGAACAGUUCCUGGGAAAAACUGCAAGGCCACAGUUGAGACAGAUAACCGGGAAAAACUAAGACGUCCUCCCCAAGGCCUUAACUGUUGAAACAAACAAGGUCACAAGAACAAGGCCUGUUCUUUUCAGCUGCUCUAUAUAUGUGCACUCCCAAUCCUACCGGGGAUGGUUCUUUUGGGGAACCGUCCUAGGGCUAGUAAAUAGACCUCUCCCUGUUGUUUUUUGCAUUGUCUUUGCGUGUUCUUCUAUCUUUUAUCUCCUCUGUCAUCACACCAAGCAACUAGAUCAGAAUUCAGAAAAGACUGAUUUGACACUGGAUAUAUCCCAAUAAAAGCCUUCACCCCUUUUCCCCCCUUUGUGUUUAGAGAAAGAGAAAUUGCCCCUGUGGGUAUGGCAGAUAGGAACAAAAGUCAAAGUUAUUCCUUCCAGGUAAUGAAAUAUAGAAAGCAAACAAUCAAAUGAAAUAGUGAUUUAGCUUUGAAAACUUACCUUCUCAGAAGAAUAGACAGAACAUCCAUAUUAAUUAUUUUUUUACUGAAAGAAUUAAGUUCAUGUCCCAAAAAGAUUCAGAGGUUUUUCCCCUUCUGCAAAACCCCCUUUCUGCUUUUAUUUUCUCACUGUCUUUCUAUUCUAUAUCAAUUUCACUAAGUUCAAUGGGGCAUAGGAUCUCAUUUCACUGGUAGAAAUUCUUUUAAAAUGUUCACAGAUCUUUUGCCACCUAUUGCCACAGAUUAGGAUUAGGAUAAUCCAGAAUAAAUGUGUACUUGACUCCCCUUUCUCUUUGCUUGAACGAAGAAAUGAUUUUCAUGACCCUAAUUGCUGUGUAAACAGGCUAUGGAAAUUGUCUCAAACAAGGUAAUAGAGUGUCAUAAAUGACUUGACAAAUAAGGCUUAUAAAAUAAAUUUUUAUAGAUAGACAUAGAUUGAAAAGAUGUAGUUGAAAGCCCUGGCCAAGAAUAUGCAACAAUAAAUUAGGUUACUCCUAAACAUUGUCACUCAUACUCUGUUCCCCACAAAGAAGCACUUAGAUAUUUGUUUUCAUAGUUAACCAACCAGUUAAGUACUAGUUAUUCUUGAGUUUCCCAUGUUAAGUUUUCAAUAGAGAUGUGAUAAUAGGAAAUGUAAUAUAAGCAUUACAAAGCCUUUUGUACAACUUAAGGUAGCUUUGGGGCUCUAGUUGACUGCAUGCAAGGAAUUGCCAUGAGUAUCCCAAGAUUCCAUGUUAGGCAAAAUGCUCCCUAUACUACAUUCUACAACUGUAAAGAUGGAGAGUAGGACAAAAGAGCCAUUGGGGGAAAUGGAAAUGUUGAGAGCUCUACAGUUGCAUGAUGAAGGAAUGACAGUUGGAAACUGGACAAAGACUUCUGGGAAAUUCUCCUGAGGAGGGGUAUUGGGUGUUGAGACACAGAAGGGAGUGGAAGAAGGAGCUGUUUCUCUGGGCCAUUUCAAGACACCUUUGGGAAUUUCUGACACUGACAGAAAUCUUAACAUUGUGGGUUCCUGUUUAGAACAUCGUUGGUUCCUGUCAAGAAACCUAAUUUCUUCAAAGACUUUCAUUCCAUGAACUAUUGAGAUACUGGACUCAGAUUGGUGAGCAGUGCUCUCUUUCCUUUUUUUUUCCUACCUGUCCCUUGCCUACAAGAAAACCUUGUUCUGCAGCAAUUAAUUUUAUUUAUAAAGAGAUUUAGGUUGACCUACAACCCCUCUAACCUCUACCCUUUGCCCAAUCAACAAUUAAAUCAAAUAAGCAGUCA